rnacentral:lncRNA from 1 species
AUAGGUUCCAUCAAACCUUAGUUAAAAGGUUUAUCUACUCAUAAUCAUACCAACAAUCAUGAUAAUAAUUGAAAGCAUUAAAAUAAAGAUUAAGAACAGAAGAGAAAAACUCUUGCGGUUCGUUGCUUCUAAGUGUUCCCGUAGCCUUUUUCAUCUCCAAUAAUGUCUUUAGAAACUCUUUUAUACAUGUUGGGGGCGUGUGCGGUCGAAGCUACCAAGUCCUAGCCAAAAUAGGACGAAAUCCGCCUUAGCGUACAUGAUCAAGUUGGCUUCUAAAAAAUUCAAAUUGAGGUAAAAUAAACACAGAAAAGAAAAAUAAACACACAAGAGGCUCGAGGUCGUCCCCACCUAAUAAAAAAAAUAAAAAAUAAAAACAAAAAUAAAAUACUACGACUUCUACUUUCGGCAUUCAAUUACAUGAUACUACGGGGCAUAACCUAUAUACAAAGUCUACGAGGCAUUCCCCGGAUGAAUAAACCUAGAGGGCGACCUCUCACCUCAUAUAAAAGAAAAGAAAAGAGAAAUCCUAAAGUUUGCCUACCCGAAUGUGGUCGGCCUAAAACAGGCUACCAGCGGUAAAAAAAUAACGAAAACUAAAUAAAAGAAAGUUUCAUUUCAUACUCAUGUUCUUUUCAACUCUUAUUUCAUACAUUUAGACCGAGUCCAAUUCGAAAACAUGCAAGGCAAGGUGAAAUUACUACGGACUCCAUCUUCCCCCUUCCCAUAUACCCGUCACGUUCCACAAUCAUAUGACUGCGAUCAAGCAAGUCAAAUAUCCAAACAAACAAAGCAUGGCAAAUUGAUUAAGUAAUAAACUAAACAAAGCAUCCACAGUACACGAGAUAUGCAAAUAAGGAAAAACGACAAAAGAAACAAUUAUUAAAUAAGACAAGACGAAAAGAAGUGAAUUAAAACAUGGUAAGAGCCGUUUAAGAUCUCUUUGAAUCCAUCCCUUUCCCAAUUCCCAAGCUACAUAUAAGGAAAAGAAGAGAACACAAAUACCAAAUUUUCACAUAAAUUCCAGUCAAUUGGAGCUGCAGUAGGGAAGGUAUACCAAAGAGUUAGCAAAUUAAACACCAUAACAGACCUAUGGAACCAUGAAAGAGAUAAGCCAGAGAUAACUUCAAAACUACAAGACUGAUCAACACUCACUAUCACGUCCCGAGACUCUUGGAUCUGCACACAAGGUGCAGAGAGUAAUGUGAGUACGCCAACUCAAUAAGUAAUAAAAGUAAAAGCAGUCGAACAGUAAGAAAACAUGUAAUUUCAUGUCAUAACACUACAACAAAAUAGUAUAUGUCCAAAACAAAUACAGUAAUUCAAUAAACUCCUAAAAAAAUUCAAUUCAAUAAAACCCUUUUAAAACACCUUUCCAUAGUUUCAAACGAGUGAGGAAAACAAUGAGUAAAAGGAUAGAAAUGUAAAUAGCCCUUCGGGCAAAACAUGUACCACAACCGCCCCUCGGGCAAAAUAUCAACAGAAGUAGCCCCUCAGGCUACCUCACAAUCACUCGUAAUCAGCCCCUCGGGCAACAACAUGAAACAACAACAGCCCCUCAGGCAAUAUCACAUCUCUCACACUGGGUACCCGUACUCACUGGGGGUGUUCAGACUCCGAAGGGGCUCCUACAACCCAAGUGCUAUCACAAGCCAUCUCGUGGCAUAACAAAUCAGGCUCUCGGCCUCUCAUAUAUCACAACUCAGUACACAUGCUGCGGCGCGCAACCCGAUCCCAUGAUGUUAUCACAAUACAGGCCCUCGACCUCACUCAGUCAGAAAUCUCUCAAGCCCUCGGGCAGCAAUAAAACAUGAUGCUCAACCCAAAAUAUCAUUUAAAAAUAUUAAAACGGAGUAAAUACAACUGAGUUAUGACAUGACUGAGUACAGAUAUUAAGUCAAAAUAGGGAGGAAUAGCAAUAAAAAGCCCCUAAGGGUCCAAAAUAGUUGGCAUGAGGCCCAAAUAUGACAUUCAGCCCAAAAUAUAGUAAUAUUUUCCAAAACACAAUGAUAUUAAACAGUUUUCAAUCAAAUACGCGACUUAACAGUCGUACGAGAUGGACCAAGUCACAAUCCCCAACGGUGCACAACCCCACGCACGUCAUCUUGCGUGUGCAUUGCCUCGAAGUAGCACCACGAUGUGAAAUCCGGGGUUUCAUACCCUCGGGACAACAUUUACAAUCAUUACUUACCUCAAUCCGGUCCAAACUCUAGACCGCAAUGCCUUUGCCCCCGACUCGUCCUCAACUCACAUCGAAUCUAUCCAAAAUUAGAAUUAUAACAUUAAUAUAUGCUAAGGGAACGAAACCCAUGCGAAAAUAAUCAAAUUACAUCAAAAAUCCCGAAAUUGGCCAAACUCGACCCCCGAGCCCACGUCUCGGAUUUCGAUAAAAAUCACAUCACUAAAAUCCUUAACCUUUCACGAGUCCAUACAUACCAAGAACAUCAAAAUCGGACCUAAAAUGGAACCUCAAAUCCCCAAUUUGCACUCUCCAAUUUCAAGCCCUAAUGCCCAAUUUUAGGCUUUAAAUCCCACUAAUUUCAUGUCCAAUUAGUUAGAAAUCAUCAUAGAAUCGAGUAUUGAGUUUGAAAAUCUUACCUCCAAGUGUUUCCCUUCGAUUCCCUCUUCAAUCCCUCUAAAAAAAGCUUCAAAACCGCUCAACAAUGAUGGAAAAUGGGUUAAAAAUCGCGAAGACAACUAUUUAAAUAUUCUGCCCAGGGAUUAUUUCCUUCUUCGCGAACACGGUAGCUCCCUCGUAUUCACGAAGCACAAAAUUCUACUGUCCAAAAAUUCCUCUUUCGCGAACGCGAGUCCUUCCACGCGAACGCAAAGCUUCAGCUGCCCAGGCCUUCGCGAACACGAAGAACAAACUUCUGGGGCCCAGCUUCUCCACUUUCCUUUUCGCGAACGCAUCCAGCUCCUCGUGUUCGCGAUCCUUUCACUGGACAUACCUUCGCGAACGCGAGCACCCCCUUCGCGAACGCAAAGAGCACUUUUUCUGCAACAAAAUACCAGAAAUCUGCAACUCUCCAAAACAAGGAUUUGGUCCGUUAACCUCUCGAAACUCACCCGAGGCCCUCGGGACAUCAACCAAACAUGCCAACACAUCCCAUAACAUCAUUCAAACUUCUUCGAGCCCUCAAAUCACUCAAAACAAUACUAAAACACCAAAUUAAUCUCGGAUACAAGUCUAAGAACUUAGAAACUUCAAAAUUCCAUAUUCGAUAAAAACGUCUAUCAAACCUAGUCCGAAUGACCUGAAAUUUUGCACACACAUCAAAAAUGACACAACAGACCUACUACAAUUUUUGGAAUUUCAUUCCAACCCCUAUAUCAAAAUUUUCACUACCAACUGAAAAACUCCAAAAUUCCAAUUUCGUCAUUUCAAGCCUAAAUCUACUACGGACCUCCAAAUUACAUUCCGAACAUGCUCCUAAGUACCAAAUCACCUAACGAAGUUUCAGAACCAUCAGAAUUCACAUCCGAGACCUUUUUCACAUAAGUCAAUAUCCAACUGACUUUUCCAACUUAAGCUUAGUCAAAAGAGACUUUGUGUCUCAUUCCUUUCCAAAACCACUGAACCCGAACCAACUAACCUGAUACCACAUCAUACAGUUGAACAAAACAUAAAGAAGCAGAAACGAGGGAAACAGAAAGAUAACUCAUGAAACAACCGGCCGGAUCAUUACAAAAAGCCAAUAAGAUCAAGUACCAGCUCGAACCUGCAACUCCUCAAUAGAGUAGCCAGAACUAUCGAACCCCUUUUUUUUUACCUCACUUAACCCUCUUUUAAAUAAAUAAAAAAGAUUUUGAAGUUCAAAAGAGUUUUCAAAAUUGAAAGUGACAAAACAAUUGUUUGAAAGGGAUUAACUCAGAGUUUCCACCUGACAUUUGAUUUCGAUGUGUCAGGUCACCGUUUUUUUUUAAAAUGACAAUUUCCCUUCAAAACACAUUUGACUCUUAAACCAGUUUGCACCAGAAAUUCAAGGUAAGAGGGUUCAUUUGACUCGAGGAGAAAGUGUUAGGCAUUCCCAAGUCCCGUAACUAGUACAGUUGCGUACAUGAUCAAGUUGACUUAUAAAAUAUUCAAAUUGAGGUAAAAUAAACACAGAAAAGAAAAAUAAACACACAAGAGGCUCAAGGUCGUCCCCACCGAAUAAAAGAAAAAUAAAAAAUGAAAAUGAAAAUAAAAUACUACGAGUUCUACUUUCGGCCUCCAAUUACAUGAUACUACGAGGCAUACCCCGGAUAAAAAUAUAUACAAAAUUUACGGGGCAUUUCCCGAAUGAAUAAACCU